AACUUUCAACAACGGAUCUCUUGGUUCUGGCAUCGAUAAAGAACGCAGCGAAAUGCGAUAAGUAAUGUGAAUUGCAGAAUUCAGUGAAUCAUCGAAUCUUUGAACGCACAUUGCGCCCAUUAGUAUUCUAGUGGGCAGGACCGUUCGAGCGUCAUUUC
rnacentral:rRNA from 1 species